rnacentral:lncRNA from 1 species
GGUUGAGACUGUAUCUAGAGAAGCUGUGCUGUGUAGCCAGAGGUCUUCUUCACCAGUUGGCACUGGUGAGGCUUCACCUGGACUGCUGGGUCCAGUGUAGGAUUCCCCAGAACAAGAGAGACAUGGAGCUUCCUGGAGCGAGUCCAAGUGAAGGGCUACCAAAAUGAUUAAGCAAUUGGAUCAUCUUUUAUAUGAGGAGAGGGAGAAGGGAGCUCGGCAUGUUCAUACUGGAAAAGACUCAAAGAGGAUCUGGGAUCUAAUCAUUGUGCUCAAGCAUCUGAAGGGAGAGGGUUAAAAAGAUGGGGCCAGACUCUUCUCAACAGCGUCCAGCUACAGGACAAGAGGCAGCAGGCACAAACUGCAACACAGAAAGUUCCAUCUGAAUGUGAAGAGAAUUUCUUUUUUUGCUGAGUGACUGAGCACUGGAACAGGUUCCCCAGGAUGUGGAGUCUCCUUCUCUGGUGGUAUUCAGAAGCAGUCUAGACACAAUCCUGGAUAACGUGCUCUAGGGGACCUGCUUGAGCAGGCUGGUUAGACUAGGUCUUCAGGGGUCCCUUCCAACCUCAAUAACUGUGUGAUAUGAGUAUUUACAUACUGUUAAACAGUGGGUGUAGACAGGAUUACUGUCUUGACCCUACCAGUUCUCCUUGGUUACUCACUCUCUUUAUGGCCCUGUUUUGGACUGUCCCACUUAGCGCUGUUGCAGAUAACAUUAUGGUACAGUGGAUUCACCCUACUCAGAGUGAGUGGAAGUCAUAAAGUGUUUCUUUGUCUUCCCUCAGUCCAUGAUCAUGCCAUAUUUAGCAGUUAAUUUAUAGACAUGUCCUAAGAAUUGAACCUAGGCAAGUAUCAAGUUGGAGCUAAAUUCCCCACUGAUUGCUACAGCUUCCCUAAGGAAACUAGCACACAAAGCAACAGUGAUACAACAGUGUUAAAAAAAUAAAAAUAGCAGUUCUUGCUCCAUAAAAAGAAAAAAAGGCAAAAAUGUCUAUAAAAGUGCUGGCUUGUGAUGUCUCCUGUAAAAGUAAGAAUUAUUUGGUUGUGUGGCGUAUAUAUAAAAAAUGUGUAUUGGACUAUUAAGAAAUUCAGUUGACACAAUUACCUUUUCCCUUUUUCAACUGAGGGGUUAAGUAACAAGUUUUAACAACAAAAUUCAGUUUACAGGUCAAUGGUUCUGCAUAACAGCAUUGAAUUUAAAAUCUAAUCCUACUUAUCAGUUUAUUUCCUUGUUCUAAAAUAGCUUUUCAGUGAAGGAAACUAUAGUUAAUCUGUAAAAUGUUAUGAGGUUAGUAUACUGCUUGUAGUCCUAAAAUCACAUUAAUUUAUACUUUUUCAAUAUUCAAGUGCUGUUUUCUUUAAAAGGACCUAUAUGAAAGUAAAUACCUGGUAGUCACAAGGAACUUAGAAUUGGGUUUCUUACUGAUUUGAUUCUCAGCAAGAAGAACCCUUUCUUAUUUCUCAACUUCAUUGCUGUCACCAUGUGAACAACUUAUGAAAAGUGUGUACUUAUCUUCUUAGCUUCAUUAGAAGGGCAAGCAAUGGGAUAUGCUUAUAUUUUUGGCAUAAGUAUUAUUGUCAGGUUGAAAAGCAAGCAAGCUUAGGUAGGAACUGUUGCUAGCUAAGUUGUGUCUGAUUAGCCUCAGGUGCUAGCCAAAAUGUGGGUUGUGAGCUAUGUCUGGGGCCAAUAUAGAGUACGUGAACAUUGUGCUUGGCGACUGAGGCAUUGAGAUUGGAAUAGUGAUCAGUAAUUGCUGGAUCCAGCAAACAGGAUCUCACUGUCUAAUGCAAUCUCUCAUGGAAUGAUGAAUUUUGGAAUCUCAGUCUGUGGGCUAUGGGAUUUUCCAAGAGUUCUUUGUAUCUGUGAACUGGAUUUGAGUAUACCCUGCUUUAGUAAUCUUUAUGCAUACAUACAGGCAACCUGGCUUGUGCAUUCAAAUCAGUAAACUGAGGGAAAAGCCCUAUAAGCUUUCUCCCUGAAGGGUUUAUGUGGAAGGUUUGCUUGUUGUAAGUGUGCUAGUUUGGAACGUUGGAGAGCAAAAAGCAGUUCAUGAAUACCAUGCAAAUGAUGUCAUACAAUAGUGACUAGUAACUUGAUGAUUCACU